rfam:Gossypium arboreum cultivar AKA8401 contig_2499_3, whole genome shotgun sequence.
CACCGCCCGUCACACCCUGGGAAUUGGUUUCGCCCGAAGCAUCGGACCAAUGAUCACCCAUGACUUCUGUGUACCACUAGUGCCACAAAGGCUUUUGGUGGUCUUAUUGGCGCAUACCACGGUGGGGUCUUCGACUGGGGUGAAGUCGUAACAAGGUAGCCGUAGGGGAACCUGUGGCUG